rnacentral:rRNA from 1 species
UACAGAGGUCUCAAGCGUUGUUCGGAUUCAUUGGGCGUAAAGGGUGCGUAGGUGGCGCUGUAAGUCGGGUGUGAAAUUUCGGAGCUUAACUCCGAAACUGCAUUCGAUACUGCGGUGCUUGAGGACUGGAGAGGAGACUGGAAUUCAUGAUGUAGCAGUGAAAUGCGUAGAUAUCGUAAGGAAGACCAGUGGCGAAGGCGGGUCUCUGGACAGUUCCUGACGCUGAGGCACGAAGGUCAGGGGAGCAAACGGG